CACUACGUUGAUUUCACAGACAGAUUGGAACCGAAGGAGUCCAGGCACCAAUGAGGCAGCGCUUCGCUUAGGAAAUACCAGGGUUUCCCUAGCAACAGGUUGAAAGCUUAGAAUUAUAGCUAGGAAACCAUGGGGUUUCCCUAGCUACGGACAGCUACUGACGAGCGUAAGAGCAUCACUCAGCUCAGCCUGGCAGUGCAAAAGCACCCUCAAACGUUUGCUUUCCCCUCCUCUCCUUGCUGCAAUAUACGAACAGAGCAAGUAGUAAUCCAUGUUUCCAUGGAUUUUGGAAGCAACUGAUAGAAGAGGUGUGUCUGUGAAGAUGUUUUGCAGCAGAAUCUGGGCUCCCAAACAGCAAAUUUCUGAUGGAAACAGCCGGCUUGAGGAGCUAGGAGCAUGGCUGAGUGGUUAACUCUCCAUGCCCAUCAAAAAGUUUGAAAGGUUUUGGAGACUAAUAAGCUGAGAGCUGUGGGUCUGUUGCUGAAAUCCAGCGUGGAUAGGGGCCUUGUAUUCCAACCUCCUGCUUGAUGCAAGAAACCUGAAGCAAGAACAGCCUGAGCAGCCUCUUCCUGAACCUCACCAAAGAGAAGCCCACUCUUGCUCAGCCAUGCUGUCUGAUCUGGAAGCUUUGUUCCACAAUUCUGGAUGUGUGGUACUGCAAGGCUGUUAGAAGGAAAAGAUACCCUGUGGGCUUUAGCCAGUGGUUGCUUUGCCAUAGUGAAAAGUGCUUCUGCUUUCGCAAGAUGGACACCCCAUUUUCACGAAUCCCCACUGAACGUGACUUUUUCUUGCAGAACACAAGCUGGACACAAGAGUAA